rnacentral:sRNA from 1 species
GUUGAUGGUUUUAUAGGGGUUAUCUAACUGUAUCUGCUCGAUCUCUGCUUGUUUCAAACCAAGAUGGCUGACCACUAGUGACCAUUCUGCUCCAAGUCUGGCCGCAACAUACAUCAAGCCAAAGUCCGUCAGAAUGCCUGAAACCAUUACGGAACCAUUUUUAUCAAAAUAUAUUAACUUUGCAUGUACUUGAUCAGGAAAUAGUUAUUAUUACUGACAAAAGAUAAUACCCUUUGUGUCUUUUUAUCUACAUGUAAAUCUUUAUAUGUUUAUUGAUUCUGUUUGUUCAUCUCAAAUGUUUUGACAAGAAGAGUUACGUAAUAGCAGGUGCUAUGUCUUAGUCUUAUCUAAUAAAUUUAACUGUCCUGCGUUUAUAUGAAAAACUUCAACCAAUCAGAAAGCUCCAAAUGUCGCACAUUUGUUUGUCUCUGGGCCAAUGUUCUAUUUUUAAAUCUAUUCUAAGAAUUCAAUAGGGUUAGACCAAUCAGCGUGGCUUUUCAGGUCACGUGACUUUUGUUUGUUUGUAAAUUAGAGGAGAAGCCACGCUCAAUUUGCUAAGCAAUAUUUUUUGCAAAAACCCUCCAUCCACCCCUUUCUUCAACCUUAUGGUGUUCAUUUUACUUUAAAUAUUUUGUACAGGUGUUAGCGUUUUUUAUAUUUUGUAUAUCCCACCCUUUUUUGAUGAUUGGCAUAUCAGGGUCAUACUUUUUUAUGUUUUUAUGUAGGGGGUCAGAUUCUAUGUUAUAUGUUGCCAAAUAUAUUGAAAAUGUAUCAGCAGUGUGUUUUCUAGUCUUGUCUGGCCCCCUCAAUAUUUACAGGGUUUUUUUUUACACCUUUGUCAAUUAUUUUAAUAAAUGACCUAUUUUCAUCUUC